GGAUUAGAUACCCUGGUAGUCCACGCCGUAAACGAUGUCUACUUGGAGGUUGUUCCCUUGAGGAGUGGCUUUCGGAGCUAACGCGUUAAGUAGACCGCCUGGGGAGUACGGUCGCAAGAUUAAAACUCAAAUGAAUUGACGGGGGCCCGCACAAGCGGUGGAGCAUGUGGUUUAAUUCGAUGCAACGCGAAGAACCUUACCAUCCCUUGACAUCCUGAGAAGUUAGCAGAGAUGCUUUCGUGCCUUCGGGAACUCAGUGACAGGUGCUGCAUGGCUGUCGUCAGCUCGUGUUG
rnacentral:rRNA from 1 species